rnacentral:lncRNA from 1 species
AUUAAUCUAAACGUUGCUCUCCUUCAAAUUAAAUCAGUGAACCGUAACCUUCAAAAACAUGAACCAGAAACCUUUGGCAACAUGAUCAAACACCAUACAAGAUGAGAACAAUCAAAACAAAUAGCAACAAACAAGAGCAAAAAAAUAUAAAGAAAUCAUGAUAAAUUAUUAUUGUUGAAACACUAAACUGAAGUGAUUUACAAAGAACUCAAGCUAACAAAACAAGCUAAGGUUUUAUCAGUUACAAUUCAAACAAAGAUGAUGAAAAUGUUACAAGUAAACAACAGCCAUUAUCUUUCUGGCAGAAGUGUACACAAGUAAAGAGACUCUCACAACACUUAAAAGACAGUACUCUACAACCAAUUAUACUUUGUUCUUUCUUUCUCAAUUAGUCUGUUUUCUCAACACCUAAUCCAUACAACACACCAGAAUAUUUCUCUGUUUCGCCGUUGAAGAAUGUUUCCCUCAACUUCCUAAAUGUACAAGCUGUGAGUAAACUAUCCGAUCCAGCUUGAUGGCACACACCAACCCUCUCAACGUCCAACAAUUCCGCAAGCUUGUUCAAACCACCAUGAAGACUGUUGCAGAACUUCAUCAAAUGCUUGAUAUCAUACACAAUCGGGAAAUAAAUCCCGAUCAAAUCGAAGAAUCCAGCUUGUGUAUCCGGCAAAGCCCUGCACGUCAAAAGCUUCAAAAGAUAACCAAAAUCAUAACCACUGUGAAAAGUAACCCAAUGAACAUUAUCAUUCAACACAAUCCCCGAUGACAUCAAAAGUUCCCCAAAUCGGUUCACAUCAAUUCCUUGCUCGCUGUUCUUCUUAAAAUCAAUUCCGCAUUGACGCAAAAGCUCAAUCGAAUCAGCAGCGAAAAUAUCUUCGCUAACAUUAAACUCGCGAAAAUUGAAUUGCCAGAUGCAAGGACUAUCAGUGCCACAAGUAGGUAAAUUUCCAUUCUCAUCAGAAAAAGUUAAACCUAACUGAAUCAGCUUCAACAUAUCAACGUUAUCCUUCAAAGUCUGAUAGUUAAAAUCAUUAAUAUGCUUAAAAUUCCCAACAGGCCGAAGAACAACACCAGGAAACUCCGUAUCCAUCGCAACAUAGUUAUACUUAUCAACAAUUUCACGAAUCAACACAAACUCCUCUUCCAGAUUAUCGUUCCAUACCUCUCUGAUUUGAAUCGAAUCACCUUUCUGUAAAUCCUUCGGUAAAUCCGUCAUUUCACAAACAACAAAUCCAAAUCAAAACCACUCAGAUCUGUAAUCAAAUCACACAAAAAAACCGUUCAAAUCUCGGAACCUAGCAAAUCUACAGCAACAAAAUCAACAUGAACUAAAUCGAGUAGUAAAAAGGUAAAAAAACCUGAAGAAUCUUCAAAUUCAGUGAGUUGAGCUUUGAAUCAAACGUAUGAGGUGGAAAUUGAACUAGAUCUGAAACAAAAACAAGUAUAGAAGAAGCGUCAAAUAACGAAUCAACUAAAUUAAAUCAAAUCGAAUUGAAGUGAACUAGGGUUAGAGGUUUGAAGUGAGAAACCCUGGAAAACGAAGUAGUAGUUAAUAGAGUGAAGAAAACGGUAGAAUCGAACCUUGUAGUGAAGAAAACGAAGGUUGAAGUAUCACCGAUCUUCGACGAAGAUCGAUUUUGGAGUCAACGAAGCAGAGGGAUUGGGAAAUGGAAGAGAGAGAGAAGAACGAAGGUUGGGGUACGAGGGUUGAGUCUGGAUUUGUACUCGGUGAGAACGUGGGGUCGUUUUGAUUAAAAUUGACGUCGUUUACAAUUGGGCCUG